rnacentral:rRNA from 1 species
AUUGAACGCUGGCGGCGGGCCUAACACAUGCAAGUCGAACGAGUGGCGGACGGGUGAGUAAUGUCUGGGCAACUGCCUGAUGGAGGGGGAUAACUACUGGAAACGGUAGCUAAUAGCGCAUACCAUCGGAUGUGCCCAGAUGGGAUGAGCUAGUAGGUGGGGUAAAGGCGCACCUAGGCGACGAUCCCUAGCUGGUCUGCGAGGAUGACCAGCCACACUGGAACUGAGACACGGUCCAGACUCCUACGGGAGGCAGCAGUGGGGAAUAUUGCACAAUGGGCGAAAGCCUGAUGCAGCCAUGCCGCGUGUAUGAAGAAGGCCUUCGGGUUGUAAAGUACUUUCAGCGGGGAGGCGUUACCCGCAGAAGAAGCACCGGCUAACUCCGUGCCAGCAGCCGCGGUAAUUC